rnacentral:rRNA from 1 species
AUUGAACGCUGGCGGCAGGCCUAACACAUGCAAGUCGAACGAGUGGCGGACGGGUGAGUAAUGUCUGGGAAACUGCCCGAUGGAGGGGGAUAACUACUGGAAACGGUAGCUAAUACCGCAUACCAUCGGAUGUGCCCAGAUGGGAUUAGCUAGUAGGUGGGGUAACGGCUCACCUAGGCGACGAUCCCUAGCUGGUCUGAGAGGAUGACCAGGCACACUGCACCUGAGACACGGGCCAGACGGCAACGGGGGACAGCAGUGGGGAAUAUGGCACAACGAGCGCAAGCCUGAUGAAGAGAUGCCGCGUGUAUGAAGUAGGCCUUGGGGUUGUAAACCGCUUUCAGCCAUGACGCGGUAGUGGCAGAAGAAGCACCGGCUAACUACGUGCCAGCAGCCGCGGUAAUUC